UACGGGGGGGGCAAGCGUUGUUCGGAAUUACUGGGCGUAAAGGGCUCGUAGGCGGCCAACUAAGUCGGAUGUGAAAUCCCCGGGCUUAACCUGGGAACUGCAUUGGUGACUGGCAGGCUUUGAGUGUGGCAGAGGGAGGUAGAAUUCCACGUGUAGCAGUGAAAUGCGUAGAGAUGUGGAGGAAUACCGAUGGCGAAGGCAGCCUCCUGGGCCAACACUGGCGCUCAUGCACGAAAGCGUGGGGAGCAAACAGG
rnacentral:rRNA from 1 species